GACGAGGGGUCCUAGCGUUGUUCGGAAUCAUUGGGCGUAAAGCGUGUGUAGGUGGCUAUUCAAGUCAGUUGUGAAAUCCCCGGGCUUAACCCGGGAAGUGCUUCUGAUACUGUUUAGCUUGAGUACUGGAGAGGAUAGUAGAAUUCCUGGUGUAGUGGUGAAAUACGUAGAUAUCAGGAGGAAUACCGGUGGCGAAGGCGGCUAUCUGGCCAUGUACUGACGCUGAGACACGAAAGCAUGGGGAGCAAACAGG
rnacentral:rRNA from 1 species